rnacentral:rRNA from 1 species
AUUGAACGCUGGCGGCAGGCCUAACACAUGCAAGUCGAGCGGCAGCACGGGAAGCUUGCUUCCUGGUGGCGAGCGGCGGACGGGUGAGUAAUGCAUAGGAAUCUGCCCGGUAGUGGGGGAUAACCUGGGGAAACCCAGGCUAAUACCGCAUACGCCCUACGGGGGAAAGCAGGGGCGUCUUCGGACCUUGCGCUAUCGGAUGAGCCUAUGUCGGAUUAGCUGGUUGGUGAGGUAAUGGCUCACCAAGGCGACGAUCCGUAGCUGGUCUGAGAGGAUGAUCAGCCACAUCGGGACUGAGACACGGCCCGA